GAUGAACGCUGGCGGCGUGCCUAAUACAUGCAAGUCGAGCGAAUGGAUUAAGAGCUUGCUCUUAUGAAGUUAGCGGCGGACGGGUGAGUAACACGUGGGUAACCUGCCCAUAAGACUGGGAUAACUCCGGGAAACCGGGGCUAAUACCGGAUAACAUUUUGAACCGCAUGGUUCGAAAUUGAAAGGCGGCUUCGGCUGUCACUUAUGGAUGGACCCGCGUCGCAUUAGCUAGUUGGUGAGGUAACGGCUCACCAAGGCAACGAUGCGUAGCCGACCUGAGAGGGUGAUCGGCCACUCUGGGACUGGAAGACGGCCCAGACUCCUACGGGAGGCAGCAGUAGGGAAUCUUCCGCAAUGGCCGAAUGUCGGACGAAGCAACGCCGCGUGAGUGAUGAAGGCUUUCGGGUCGUAAGACUCUGUUGUUAGGGAAGAACAAGUGCUAGUUGAAUAAGCUGGCACCUUGACGGUACCUAACCAGAAAGCCACGGCUAACUACGUGCCAGCAGCCGCCGUAA
rnacentral:rRNA from 1 species